GAACGAGAAAGGGAAAGAUUCAUUCCGAUAUACGCGUCCGGUUUUGCAGAGCUCUCUGCAACUCAUGGGAUGUAAAGCGCGUCACGCUUUCAAGAUUAGCCAAAGGGUUUUUGAGCUGAUGAGAAAUGAACCUUCAGGUGAUGCUCUACUUCCUGAAGAAGUGGAAGUAAGUGGGGUUGAUGUUUCAAAAGGAAAUGGGCAGAAGGAAUAUGGAAGCAGGAGG
rnacentral:misc_RNA from 1 species